rnacentral:tRNA from 1 species
GGGGUUGUGGCUCAGCGGUAGAGCACUCGCCUAGCACUUGCGAGGCGCUGGGUUCGAUCCUCAGCACCA